GCGGCCGCGAGGCCAACGUACUGCCCUGUU
rnacentral:sRNA from 1 species